GAAACGCGAUAGCUAAUGUGAAUUGCAGAAUUCCGUGAAUCAUCGAGUCUUUGAACGCACAUUGCGCCCCCUGGCAUUCCGGGGGGCAUGCCCGUCCGAGCGUCAUUUCGCCCCUGGAGCGCGGCUCCUGUGAUGGGCGUACGUCCGGGGACCGCCUUACCGUGGCCCCCGGACGCGCCCCGAAUUCAGCGGCGGUCGCCCGCGAUCCAAAGCCCCGAGCGAAUGGGUAACAUAUCUCUCGCGUCGAACGGGCCUCUCGCGGUGCGUCGCCUUCUAACGAGGACCUCGUCCUCACCUGGAUAUUGACCUCGGAUCGGGUAGGGAUACCCGCUGAACUUAA
rnacentral:misc_RNA from 1 species